rnacentral:sRNA from 1 species
AUUCUUGGUCAUUUUAGAAGAGGAAGUAAAAGUCGUAACAAGGUUUCCGUAGGUGAACCUGCGGAAGGAUCAUUAUUGAAUGAACUUGGCGUGAUUGUAGCUGGUCCUCUCGGGGGCAUGUGCACAUCUGUCAUCUUUAUCUUUCCACCUGUGCACACUUUGUAGGUCUGGAAUAAAAAUUUCCGAGGCAACUCGGUCGUGGGGGUUGCUAUAUCAGCUUUCCUUGCAUUUUCCAGGUCUAUGUUUUCAUAUACACCAUAACAAUGUAAUAGAAUGUUUUUAUUGGGUCUUGGUUACCUAUAAAACUAUAUACAACUUUCAGCAACGGAUCUCUUGGCUCUCGCAUCGAUGAAGAACGCAGCGAAAUGCGAUAAGUAAUGUGAAUUGCAGAAUUCAGUGAAUCAUCGAAUCUUUGAACGCACCUUGCGCUCCUUGGUAUUCCGAGGAGCAUGCCUGUUUGAGUGUCAUUAAAUUCUCAACCUUAUCAGCUUUUGUUGAUAAUGGCUUGGAUGUGGGGGUUUCUUUGCUGGCUUCUUAACGAGAUCAGCUCCCCUUAAAAUUAUUAGCUGGUUGCGUUGUGCAAACUGUCUAUUGGUGUGAUAAUUAUCUACGCCGUGGACUUUCUGCUAGUAUUUUUAGCACCGCUUCUAACUGUCCGUUGACUCGGACAAUAUAUAUGACAAUUUGACCUCAAAUCAGGUAGGACUACCCGCUGAACUUAAGCAUAUCAAUAAGCGGAGGAAAAGAAACUAACAAGGAUUCCCCUAGUAACUGCGAGUGAAGCGGGAAAAGCUCAAAUUUAAAAUCUGGCGGUCUUUGGCUGUCCGAGUUGUAAUCUAGAGAAGUGUUAUCCGCGCUGGACCGUGUACAAGUCUCCUGGAAU